GCGAGAAGUUCAUUGUUUUCGUGAUAGCAAUGAAUUUCAAUUUUAAUUUUUGGAGAGUUGAGCGUUCUGAGUAUUUUAAUAUAAUUUUGAGUUUUGUCACGAAAUUGCCAAAGAGGGAGAUUGUUACGGAUUUUAAGUUGGCAUAUUUCAUGAAGUAAGUCAGAGUCUUGAAGGUUUAAAGAAGAAGGGGCAAAGAUUGAAGACUCG
rnacentral:lncRNA from 1 species